rnacentral:rRNA from 1 species
AACGCUGGCGGCGUGCCUAAUACAUGCAAGUCGAACGGUCUUUCUAUGGAAGCUUGCUUCCACUGAGAAGAUAGGUGGCGAACGGGUGAGUAACACGUGGGUAACCUGCCCAUAAGAGGGGGGAUAACAUCCGGAAACGGGUGCUAAUACCGCAUAGUUUUCUUGAUCGCAUGAUUGAGAAAGGAAAGACGGCCUUUGUGCUGUCGCUUAUGGAUGGACCCGCGGCGUAUUAGUUAGUUGGUGAGGUAACGGCUCACCAAGACGAUGAUACGUAGCCGACCUGAGAGGGUGAUCGGCCACAUUGGGACUGAGACACGGCCCAAACUCCUACGGGAGGCAGCAGUAGGGAAUCUUCCGCAAUGGACGAAAGUCUGACGGAGCAACGCCGCGUGAGUGAAGAAAGGUUUUCGGAUCGUAAAACUCUGUUGUCAGAGAAGAACAAGUUGGAGAGUAACUGCUCCAGCCUUGACGGUAUCUGACCAGAAAGCCACGGCUAACUACGUGCCAGCAGCCGC